UACGGAGGGUGCAAGCGUUAAUCGGAAUCACUGGGCGUAAAGCGCGCGUAGGUGGCUAUUUAAGUCAGAUGUGAAAGCCCUGGGCUCAACCUGGGAAUGGCAUUUGAUACUGGAUAGCUAGAGUAUGGUAGAGGUGAGUGGAAUUUCAGGUGUAGCGGUGAAAUGCGUAGAGAUCUGAAGGAACAUCAGUGGCGAAGGCGGCCAUCUGGGACAACACUGACGCUGAAGCACGAAAGCGUGGGGAGCAAACAGG
rnacentral:rRNA from 1 species